AACGCACAUUGCGCUCCUUGGUAUUCCGAGGAGCAUGCCUGUUCGAGCGUCAUUGCAACCCUCAAGCUCUGCUUGGUGUUGGGCCUCAUCGGUAAUGAUGUGCCCUAAAACGAGUGGCGGUACUGCCUAGCUCUAAGCGUAGUAAAAUGUCUCGCUAUAGAUGCCUGGGGGCUACUUGCCAUAACCCAUAAAUUUCUCAGGUUGACCUCGGAUCAGGUAGGGAUACCCGCUGAACUUAA
rnacentral:misc_RNA from 1 species